rnacentral:rRNA from 1 species
UACGAAGGGGGCUAGCGUUGCUCGGAAUUACUGGGCGUAAAGGGCGCGUAGGCGGACGUUUUUAAGUCGGGGGGUGAAAGCCCGGGGCUCAACCUCGGAAUUGCCUUCGAUACUGGACGUCUUUGAGUAUGGGAGAGGUGAGUGGAACUGCGAGUGUAGAGGUGAAAUUCGUAGAUAUUCGCAAGAACACCAGUGGCGAAGGCGGCUCACUGGCCCAUAACUGACGCUGAGGCACGAAAGCGUGGGGAGCAAACAGG